rnacentral:rRNA from 1 species
GGGGAAUAUUGCACAAUGGAGGAAACUCUGAUGCAGCGACGCCGCGUGAACGAUGAAGGCUUUCGGGUCGUAAAGUUCUGUCCUAGGGGACGAUAAUGACGGUACCCUAGGAGGAAGCCCCGGCUAACUACGUGCCAGCAGCCGCGGUAAUACGUAGGGGGCGGGCGUUGUCCGGAUUUAUUGGGCGUAAAGGGUUCGCAGGCGGUCUCUUAAGUUAGAUGUGAAAGAUCACGGCUCAACCGUGGUAAGCAUUUAAAACUGGGAGACUUGAGUUAAGGAGAGGAAAGUGGAAUUCCUAGUGUAGCGGUGAAAUGCGUAGAUAUUAGGAGGAAUACCAGUGGCGAAGGCGACUUUCCGGACUUAUACUGACGCUGAGGAACGAAAGCGUGGGGAGCAAAC